ensembl:miRNA
GUCCGAGGUUCUUGGAGAAGCUGGCUCUAGGGCGCCUGUGAAGAUGGUCUUUCUUGAGCCUCGCCUUCUGCGCACGCGCCGUCCUGGCAGCGCCGAGCCCGACGUCUGUAU